ACUAUGCCGACUCGGGAUUGGCAGUCGUUUACUUUAA
rnacentral:rRNA from 1 species